GGACUCUAGGGUUUCUAAUCCUGUUUGCUCCCCACGCUUUCGUACCUCAGCGUCAAUAUAUGUCCAGUUAGUCGCCUUCGCCACUGGUGUUCUUCCGAAUAUCUACGAAUUUCACCUCUACACUCGGAAUUCCACUAACCUCUCCAUAAUUCUAGCGAUCUAGUUUCAAAGGCAGUUCUGGAGUUGAGCUCCAGGCUUUCACCUCUGACUUGAAUCACCGCCUACGUACUCUUUACGCCCAGUAAUUCCGAACAACGCUAGCUCCCUCCGUAUUACCGCGGCGGCUGGCACU
rnacentral:misc_RNA from 1 species